rnacentral:rRNA from 1 species
UUCGACACACUAUCAUUAACUGAAUCCAUAGGUUAAUGAGGCGAACCGGGGGAACUGAAACAUCUAAGUACCCCGAGGAAAAGAAAUCAACCGAGAUUCCCCCAGUAGCGGCGAGCGAACGGGGAGCAGCCCAGAGCCUGAAUCAGUAUGUGUGUUAGUGGAAGCGUCUGGAAAGGCGCGCGAUACAGGGUGACAGCCCCGUACACAAAAAUGCACAUGCUGUGAGCUCGAUGAGUAGGGCGGGACACGUGGUAUCCUGUCUGAAUAUGGGGGGACCAUCCUCCAAGGCUAAAUACUCCUGACUGACCGAUAGUGAACCAGUACCGUGAGGGAAAGGCGAAAAGAACCCCGGCGAGGGGAGUGAAAAAGAACCUGAAACCGUGUACGUACAAGCAGUGGGAGCACGCUUAGGCGUGUGACUGCGUACCUUUUGUAUAAUGGGUCAGCGACUUAUAUUCUGUAGCAAGGUUAACCGAAUAGGGGAGCCGAAGGGAAACCGAGUCUUAACUGGGCGUUAAGUUGCAGGGUAUAGACCCGAAACCCGGUGAUCUAGCCAUGGGCAGGUUGAAGGUUGGGUAACACUAACUGGAGGACCGAACCGACUAAUGUUGAAAAAUUAGCGGAUGACUUGUGGCUGGGGGUGAAAGGCCAAUCAAACCGGGAGAUAGCUGGUUCUCCCCGAAAGCUAUUUAGGUAGCGCCUCGUGAAUUCAUCUCCGGGGGUAGAGCACUGUUUCGGCAAGGGGGUCAUCCCGACUUACCAACCCGAUGCAAACUGCGAAUACCGGAGAAUGUUAUCACGGGAGACACACGGCGGGUGCUAACGUCCGUCGUGAAGAGGGAAACAACCCAGACCGCCAGCUAAGGUCCCAAAGUCAUGGUUAAGUGGGAAACGAUGUGGGAAGGCCCAGACAGCCAGGAUGUUGGCUUAGAAGCAGCCAUCAUUUAAAGAAAGCGUAAUAGCUCACUGGUCGAGUCGGCCUGCGCGGAAGAUGUAACGGGGCUAAACCAUGCACCGAAGCUGCGGCAGCGACGCUGAUGCGUUGUUGGGUAGGGGAGCGUUCUGUAAGCCUGCGAAGGUGUGCUGUGAGGCAUGCUGGAGGUAUCAGAAGUGCGAAUGCUGACAUAAGUAACGAUAAAGCGGGUGAAAAGCCCGCUCGCCGGAAGACCAAGGGUUCCUGUCCAACGUUAAUCGGGGCAGGGUGAGUCGACCCCUAAGGCGAGGCCGAAAGGCGUAGUCGAUGGGAAACAGGUUAAUAUUCCUGUACUUGGUGUUACUGCGAAGGGGGGACGGAGAAGGCUAUGUUGGCCGGGCGACGGUUGUCCCGGUUUAAGCGUGUAGGCUGGUUUUCCAGGCAAAUCCGG